GUGAGGAAUAUUGCGCAAUGGAGGCAACUCUGACGCAGCCAUGCCGCGUGCAGGAAGAAGGCGCUACGCGUUGUAAACUGCUUUUAACCGGGAAGAAACCCCAGGACGUGUCCUGGGUUGACGGUACCGGAGGAAUAAGCACCGGCUAACUUCGUGCCAGCAGCCGCGGUAAUACGAAGGGUGCAAGCGUUAUCCGGAUUCAUUGGGUUUAAAGGGUGCGUAGGCGGAGCGUUUAGUCAGUGGUGAAAUCCUGCAGCUUAACUGUAGACUUGCCAUUGAUACUGGCGCUCUUGAGUGCGCUUGAAGUGGGCGGAAUGUGCCGUGUAGCGGUGAAAUGCUUAGAUAUGGCACAGAACACCAAUUGCGAAGGCAGCUCACUAAGGCGAUACUGACGCUGAGGCACGAAAGCGUGGGGAUCGAACAGGAUUAGAAACCCGGGUAGUCC
rnacentral:rRNA from 1 species